CGGCACUUGCUUUGAAUAGAGGAACUUGUAUUUUAAAUCGAUACCACACGUUAAUUUUGACUUAACUUAAGUUUAUAUACCGCCGUCUAGACUUAAUAAAAAAAUUAUUUUCAAAAAAAUAUUUAAUAUGACAGGUCAAGGUGUAGCCAACAUUUAAGUCAAUAUGAGUUACAUUAAACACCAUUUAAGGAGAUUAGUUCAAAAAUUAAUCACAAAAAGGAUCUAUAAGUAUUUUUUAAUUAAAAAUUAAUAAAUAAUUAAUUAACGAGUGUGU
rnacentral:rRNA from 1 species